AUACGUCGAUGUCAAAGUGAUUGCCAAAUUAUUGAGGAUGGAAGGAUCUCCAGGCUGACUUCUGGCUCUACAAGGUACUAUUGUAGCUCAUCAUGUUUCUCAGACAGACAAUGAACGCGUGCUGCCACAGGGAGCAAGUGGAUUGUAUGACCAUCUCAACUAAUGAUGUGCGUGAUUGGAUUCCCUAACAACUGAAACUAACCGAGGAGCUGAUAAAGAAUGAACAAAAUGAAUUCUCAAUCUGCGAAAGAAUUCUACGCGGUCUCGAAAUGUGAGUGAACGAUAUACGUAGAGUGAAAGAAAUUUCAAUUUCGUUUCUUGGCGUCAUU